rnacentral:tRNA from 1 species
CAGGGAGACAAAACUGAUUUAGAUGUCUGAGUAAAUCAUUCUCAGGCCUAGAUCCUGUCACCUUAGGUCGAUCGGUACCUCAAGUUGAAUUCAUAAACUAAGUGAGUAAUCUCUUAUUAAAUGCAAUGAACUUCAGUUCCUAAACUUGUCUAGGUCACACCCAACAUGGGUAUCCUGGGCCAUUAGCUCAGGUGGUUAGAGCGCACCCCUGAUAAGGGUGAGGUCCCUGGUUCAAGUCCAGGAUGGCCCAUUCGGUUUUGGGGGUAUAGCUCAGUUGGUAGAGCGCCUGCUUUGCAAGCAGGAUGUCAGCGGUUCGAGUCCGCUUACCCCCACUGAUCGACCUCCUGCUUCUCGUGAAUGGCAGGAUACUUAAUUUGUUUGAUUUGACUUAGACGUUGUUUUAUCUGAAAUGAACCUAGCUUCCUAUCAUUCCUUAUCCAGUCUUAAAUUCUGGUAAAGGUUGAUAAGACGCUGGGCUCACUACAAUUCGAAUGAUUUGUAGCGUGUUCAGUAGAACCUUGACAACUGCAUAGGUGAGUCUGGAAAAAAUAAAGCAUCUCAUGGAUGCAUUAUUCUUUUAAUCAGAAUUUAGUUUAUUUGCAACUGCAAUUAUGCUUUUCUGGAGAUAAUGAAUAGUGUUCAAAUUCUUGAGUUAAGAGCCGAGACUCUUUAGUUGUAUUUUGUGGGUUAAAACUCCAUGAAAUAUAUAAAAUUUAAGUGUUUAUUCGCUUAACUACUAAAGAGAAUUAUUU